rnacentral:rRNA from 1 species
GAGUUUGAUCGUGGCUCAGGAUGAACGCUAGCGGCAGGCCUAAUACAUGCAAGUCGAGGGGCAGCGGGUGUAGCAAUACAUGCCGGCGACCGGCGCACGGGUGCGUAACACGUAUGUAAUCUACCUUUUACUGGAGAAUAGCCCGAAGAAAUUCGGAUUAAUACUCCAUAAUAUCAUUGGGGGCAUCUCUUGAUGAUUAAAGUUCCGACGGUAAAGAUGAGCAUGCGCGAUAUUAGCUAGUUGGUGAGGUAACGGCUCACCAAGGCGACGAUAUCUAGGGGUACUGAGAGGUUACACCCCCACACUGGUACUGAGACACGGACCAGACUCCUACGGGAGGCAGCAGUAAGGAAUAUUGGACAAUGGUCGCAAGACUGAUCCAGCCAUGCCGCGUGCAGGAUGACUGCCCUAUGGGUUGUAAACUGCCUUUUGUACGGGAAUAACCCGGGUACGUGUACCCCGGCUGAAUGUACCGUAAGAAUAAGGGUCGGCUAACUUCGUGCCA